GUUAUUAAUAGUACCAUUAGUGCUAUAAAAUUUGGGGGUAGUUAUUCGCCAUAUAUUAAUAUACUGAUCCCAAGAUGAAGUUACAAAAAAAUAGUAAUUUCUUAGGGGGUUGUUUUUGGUUUUGGAUUGGGAUUGUGUUUUUUUGGGCCGGACUUGUUUGUUGGUGGCAAUGGCAUUUUUGCAAUUUUAUUAAUGUCACUAUAUACGACUUUAUUAGUGACAGUACUUGCAGUUAAGUUAGUUAUAAGGCAUUCUACAAUGCCUUUGGGGGCACCUAAUUUGGUACUAAUUUGAUCACUAACUUGCCUGAAAUCAUUGACAGUUUUUUUCGGUUGUUCAUCUAUUAAAGAUCUAGUGUUAAUAGCAGUUAAAACAUUAUUAGGUAUGUUAAAAGGAAGAGUCUCAUUUUUUUUUUUUUUUUGACGAUAUAAUUGUCUUACCAAAACAGUCGACAACUGUGUAGCUAAAAUAGUACUAUUAAGAUUAUAUGAAGAUUUAAUAUAAGCACGUGUUAAUAUUUGUAAGAACAUGAUAUCAUUAAAUAUAGUGAACUCGUAUAUACCUUUAUAAUGAAAUAUAUAACCAAUAGAAGAACCUAUAAACAUGUCUAAAGUUACAUUAUAUUUAUUUUCUUUAUUUAAUUUUGUAUUAUAAAUACCAUCUACACAUAAAUAACGUACAUUCGAUGAAAAUUUAUGUACAUUUAUUUUUUCAAUAUGAUACAUUAUUGGUAUAUUAUGUACAUUUUUGUAAAUAUAAAAAAGAUUAAUCGAACUUUUUGCUCCAACAGUAAUAACAAAUUUCAACUUUUUUGAAUAAUAAUAAGGACUUUUAAAAAAACAGAAAUUAAAAAUAGGUUCAUUAUGGUUAUAUAUAUUUUGUAUUAUAUCCAUUUGGUAGUUCAAUUUUAUUAGUUUGUAUUGUUUUUUCAAUUUCGUGUUACCAUAUUCACACAUAUCGAUUUGUUUCUUUCUUAAAGACCCAUCCUUAUAUGUACUUCUUUGAAAAGUACAUUUUCUCAAGUGGAUAAUUUUUAUAGUUCCAUCUUCUGAACAA
rnacentral:lncRNA from 1 species